AAAGCCUUGGCACGCGCUGGAAGAUGGAUCCACGGUAGCAGAUACGAGCAGUUGCAACGUGCCCGGUGUCGGCGGUCGGUAUACUACUGUCAGUAUGGAAAGUUUCAGGCAAGUGUCCGUUCAUUUGGUGUUUCUUUAUUUGAUUACGUGUUAUUGUUGGCUGUAGAAGUAUCUCAUUGUGAUCCGAUAGCAUAUUUCAAUAAUGUAAGCGCAAAAGCAGUUGCACGCAGUACUACGGCAAGAUGGCUACCUCGAUUGCCCCCGUGUGACUAACGUUUCUGUGGCCACGUCGGGCGUGGUGCGCCUGCAUAAUCGCCGCUUUGUUUCUGAGCGCUUGAACUAUCGGAAAUGUGGUGUUCUUGCGAGUUCAGCGCGGCUUAUAACAUGGUCGUUCGUUUUGUGUCGAGUAGAAAAAGAAGUGACGACUGGCUUCGCCUUUCGCAAGUACCGGCGCAAUAUUGGCUCUCCCUCGCGCGCCCGCGUACUGCUGCUGCUGCUGCUUGCCGGACGCCUUCUUCAGCGUGUUUUGGGCUAUCUUUCUCUCUCCUUUUGUGUGUGUGUGUGGUGUGUGUUCGCGCGCGCGUACGUGUUUUGUAAGCGCUUUACGUGUGCGUGCGUGCGUCCGUGCGUUUUUUCUGAGCGCUGUGUACGUGCGUUCGUGCAUAUUUUUUGAGUGUUUUGUAUGUGUGCGUGCGCGCGCGCGUGUGCUUGUAUGCGGGUCUCUAUGUGCUUGCGCGUGCGUGCGUUCGUGCGUGUUUUGUGAGCGCUUUGUAUGUGCGCGCGUGCCUGUUGUAUAAGUGCUUUGCAUGUGUGCGUGCGCGCGCGCGCGUUGCUGCUUUGCGAGCGUUUUGCUUGUGCGCGCGUGCUUGUAUGUGGGUCUCUAUGUGCUUGCGCGUGCGUUCGUGCGUGCGUGUUUUGUGAGUGCUAUGUAUGUGCGUGCGCGCGCGCGCGCGUACGUGUUUUGUGAGUUUUCUGCGGGGGCGCGCGUGCUUGUGUGUGUGUGUGUAUUGAAUAAAGUCGGUAGCUUUACACGCAAUAAACCUCUUCAAAAUUGGUGCAGCGGCUGUCCCCGCCCUGAAAACCGAAUUUGGUGUCGAGCCACUCUGGAAUAUAUGGAGGCGCCGGAGGACCAGUGGAAGGUGUCAUCCAGAUGACAGCCUCACAAUUCGCAGCCUUUGUGCUCUCCAUCAGAAACCCAUCAGGGGCAAGCCACUUAUCUUUGCCUUCAGACAAGACAACAUUGAAGCAGGAUUCCAGCACAGCCAUCUCCUGCACUUAUGGUCAAGAUGCUCAGACAAUGGAGUCCCUGUUCCUUGUGGUUAACCGUGAACAGUAUUCUCGCUUUUAUGAAAGCUAAAGGUGAUUUCCUGCAUAAAUUAGGAUUUUGCAGCUCAAAUGUAUACACUUUAUUCUAAUUUGAAGCAACUUAUAUAUGCUGUUUAAUACUUUUAUAGUGUUUGAUACAAUCAUUUCUUGUUGAAAAAUAUUAAGCAUGAUGUUUAACAUUUAUUUAUGCAUUACUGGCUGAUGCAUGAUGGCCUGUGUUUAAAAAAUGUGAACUCACACAUUUGAAGCUUCAUUCAGUAACCAGAGUAUGGCUGAUUUAAUAAACAUUAUUUGCUCAUUUAUGUACAAUCCCUAAUCUUCCAUUAUCGCACCAAGUACAAAUAAUUUAGAAAUUCGCAAUGUAUCAUCCGCAUGUGGCCAGUAGAGUACCUUAAUGAACAGUGGUUUGUUUUUAUAAGGCCGCCAUUGAUACGGCACUUCGCACCUAAACAGUAAUAAAUCUGGCAUAUUUAGGCUGUCUUGCAGUGGAAAAAAAAACAUUUUCAAGCAACAUAUUUUAUAACACACCAUGCGUUGCCUUCGCAUUACAAAAUUUAAGGAAACCAGAAUUGUAAUAGGAAAAUCUGCUACACAGCAUUUUUAGCUCAGAGAACUCUAUUUACAUUUGAAAAAAAAAUGAUUUAGGUGGGAAAAAAUUUUCUUGCUCAAGGAAUCUUGUUGAGGAGCGAAAAUUCAUCGUGAUGCUCCUGGAUCAAACCUUAUUUAAAGCAUGUUCAUGUGUGAAACAUACAGGGUUUCAGUAUAUCAAAAAUGUGCGCCAGUCAAGCUUUAUAUCGACUUUCCAUAUCAGCUUUUCACAAUGAUUUGCCAUGACAUUGGUGUACAAAAUAACAGGGUGUGUUUAUUGUGUGCGUGCUCUACUUCCCUAAUUGACUUUUGCAAUAUACUAUAUAUUUUUUUCAAGGCCACCAAAACUAGAAUUUUUGUACCUGAAAUUUAGUAUUGAAAAUUUAUUCCUUUAAGUGGCACCAAACAGGCUGUUUUAGGGUUACCAUAUAUACAGGUUGUUUCAGUUAAAUUAAGCUAAACAUUAAAUAAAUGCAAAUGCUACGUAGCUGGACAGAACCAAGGUAAUGUUGUUCGCCGUCGCUUGGCGAUACUCAGACUAUUUCUUGUACUCGGCCUAAUUCGAUAAUUAGACCUAAUUAUUUAUUCAACUUCUCAAUUAUAAUUAGAUGAAAAAUGUCAAUGAGUAAAUUGUAGAGCAAGAUGAGAAACUCCCAAUACAGCUUUCUGUUGCUCAAUACGUGCAACAUAAAAUGUUUUUUCCGAGCGUGAAAGAAGCCCGUGAAUAUACGCAAAAUUUUCGUCCGACUGGCUGCUCGAGGCACUUUAUGUGUACUCGCGGGCAUCUUUCACGCUCGGAAAAACACUUUUGUGUUGCACGUAUUGAGCAACAGAAAGCUGUAUCGGUAGUUUCUCAUGUUUCUCUAUACAAUCUUCUAAUUGACACUUGUCAUCUAAUUCUAAUAAAUGAGAAGUUGAAGAAAUAAUUAAGUCUAAUUAGGCAGAGUACAAAAUAUAGUCUGAGUAUCCCCAAGCGACGGCAAACAAUAUUACUUUAGUUCUGUCCACCUACGGAGCAUUUGCAUAUUUUUACAGUUUGUCCCAAGUUUUAACUGAAACACCCUGUAUAUAGGACAGAUUUGAUCAGUUAUAUUUAAAAAAAAAACAUUUUUGUAGGAAAUGUAAAUUUUCAUGUACUUACAAAUGUAUUUGGUGAUUGCACAUUUUAGGUUGUUAUGUAUGUAUUAUGUAGUUAUGUAUUCUAGCAUGGAAUAAAUAUAUUUACUUUCCUUGAAAAUGCAGUAUCAUAUAUGUCUUGCUGGUUCGUAUUACAUUUUAUAUGGAUAUGUAAAGCGUAAU